GUAGGGAAUAUUGGGCAAUGGUCGGAAGACUGACCCAGCCAUGCCGCGUGCAGGAAGACGGCCCUCUGGGUUGUAAACUGCUUUUAUCUGGGAAGAAAAAGGCCAUGCGUGGCAAAUUGCCGGUACCAGAUGAAUAAGCACCGGCUAACUCCGUGCCAGAAGCCGCGGUAAUACGGAGGGUGCGAGCGUUGUCCGGAUUUAUUGGGUUUAAAGGGUGCGUAGGCGGCUGAUUAAGUCAGGGGUGAAAGACUUCGGCUUAACCGGAGCAGUGCCGUUGAUACUGGUUGGCUUGAGUGUCGGAGGGGUACAUGGAAUUGAUGGUGUAGCGGUGAAAUGCAUAGAUACCAUCAGGAACACCGAUAGCGAAGGCAUUGUACUGGCCGACAACUGACGCUGAUGCACGAAAGUGUGGGGAUCGAACAGGAUUAGAAACCCCAGUAGUCC
rnacentral:rRNA from 1 species